rnacentral:tRNA from 1 species
AAUAUAGUGCCUGAUAUAAAAGGAUAGUUUUGAUAGAACUAAUAAUGUAAAUAUUUACCUAUAUUA